GGGUCUGGAACAACAACCCAGAAGACGGCUUUAGGAUGCCCAAUGGCUCCUGUGUUCCCCACAACAGCUCAGAGGAGAUGCUUUUCCACUAUGGGAUGACCUGUGAGUGCGGGCGCCCGGAGGGAGAGGGGAGAGGCCAUGUGUCUCCCUCAGCCUGUGAGUGAGGCCACCCCAGGUCUGUGCUGGGAAGACAGGAUGGGGACAUGGGUAGCUGUCACUCACUGAGCAGGGCUUUCCAGACUCAGAAGCUGGAAGCCAUUCUUUUCCCCAGACCCGAGCGCGAGCCGUACCCAGUGAGCUGAGGGGGACACACGGCUGGUAUCCAUCCCACUGCCGCCACCCACCCCUGAGUUCCAGGGGCCCUCAAUGGAACAGGCCUCCUUGGCAUGAGGCAUGACCCGCUGCCUUCCAACUUCACCCCCAUCUUCCUUUCCCAACUGUCGAAAAACUCCCCUCUGGCCUCUGGGUGUGAUGGGGACAAGCAGUGCAUCUAUGACACGCUGGCCACUGGAGACACCCAAGCCAGCCUUCACACCAGGGAGCUUUUCAGAAUGAACCAGCUGAUGAACGCCACCCUCAGUACGUGGUGCUCCCAGAGGGCGUCCCCUCCCACAACGCCCUGCUACCUCCACCUUUUAUUCCUUUUGUCCAUCAAACUCUUGGGCCCAAACCUGCCCGUGAUGCCCAGCUCAACCAGCCUCGGAGGGGCUCCUUGGCCUCUGGGAACCCUGCCCAGCACUUCCGCUCUGCUCCCCUGGCUCCUUCGAGUUCUUCACACAUGAGUUUCCCUGGCGACUCUGAGCCUUGGCACAGGCUGCUCUCCUGCCAGGAAGGCCCUGUCUCCGGCAGCCACAGAUCAGUUCCCGCCCUCCAUCAGUGAUUGCCAUGUGAUGGAAGCCUACAAGGACAAGACCUCCCAGUUUCAGUGCACCAGCAACUCUGAGAAUGUCACCUUUGAGCUCCAAGGGAACCACACCUCCUUCCAGAUCCUCAAGAAUGGGACUUUGCUGUGGGCCCCAAACUCACCAGAACCAGUCACCCUGGAGAUUCUAGUGCAAGACCCCAAGACUGGCUUGUCAUCUGUCCUCCAGCCCAAGACAGUGGCCCGCUUUUGCAGUUCAAGGAGCCAGUGUCUGUACAACCAGACCCGCCGGGUGGGCAACUCCUCCCUAGAGGAGGCCAGCUGCCAGUGUGGCAAGGACACCUUUGGUCGCCACUGUGAACGCUCCAAGGACCCCUGUGAUGAGCGGUGCUUCCCGAAUGUGCAGUGCAUCCCUGGGAGGGGCUGUGGCGCCUGCCCCCGGUUCAUGACUGGGGACGGGAGGCACUGCACAGCCCUGGUGGACCCACUUCUCUGUCAGAACAAGUCCUGCCCGGUGAAUUACUGCUACAACCACGGCCACUGCUUCGUGUCCCAGACUCAGGGCUGCCAGCUGGCUUGUACCUGUCCCCCAGCCUUCACAGAUGCCCGCUGCUUCCUGGCAGGGAACACUUUUGUUCCCUCUGUCCUUGGAGAACUUCCUGUGAGGCCCAUCCAGCUGUCGCUCCGUGAGGAGGAAAAUGCCACCAAGGAGGACGUGAAUGCCUCGGUGGCAUACAGGCUGGAGCACCUGGAUGUGCGGGCCUUCCUCCGGAAUAGCCAUGUGGAGCACAGCCAUUCCAUAGCACUGCCCUCAGGACUCUCCAUCCAGCACUGGAAGGUAGUCUCGGAGUUCGGGUACCGUCCCAGGGGCCCUGUCAUCCACUUCCUGAACCAGCAGCUCCUGGACGCCGUGGUCAGGGCCUUCCUCACGCAGGAGUGGGGUGCGAGACAGAAGAGCAGCCCGGAGGCCCGGAAAUGUGGGCUUNNNNNNNNNNNNNNNNNNNNNNNNNNNNNNNNNNNNNNNNNNNNNNNNNNNNNNNNNNNNNNNNNNNNNNNNNNNNNNNNNNNNNNNGGGGGGAGGUAAGUAGAGGGAGCCUUCACAGAUUGCUGGGCCACACAGCCCACGGUGGACAAUGGCUCUAUGGAGGCCCAUAGCCAAGUGGUCAUUUCACCCAGGAACUGCUAAUGGUCUCUUAGUUUUCUUAAAAUUUCACUUCGCUAGACACACACACACCCAAGGACAUCCCUUCCACCUCUGUGCCCCAGCUGCAGGGUGUCCCGGUAGAUACCAGGGAGCCGUGAGGGCAGAGAUGCCCCUCCUGGAAGGGCGUGGCCUGGGCGAGCACAGUCCCCAAGCCUGGCCUCAACCCCCAGGCUGGACUGACCUGGGUUUCUAAGGGCCCUUUCAGCAGUAACGGCCCCUGGUUCCCUUGAAAUGGGAAGAGAGAACAAGGAAGAGUUCCGCCACUGCCAUCAUUUUGGGGAAUAGGGCAGAGAACAGUAGGACAGUGACUAUUCCCAACGCAGCAGAAACUGCUCUUCCCAGGGCCUGGGGCCAGAUAGAGCUGCUUCUAAAAUCUGGUUUACAGCUCCUUCUGCUUGGGACACCUGUGUGCAGGGGAGUCGGGCUGGGGGAACAGGGUGGGGUAAGGGAGAAGCCCUGUGAUGUUUGUUCAAGAAAACACAAUUUUAAAAAGAAAAAGUAGAAACAAUGUCUUUGUAGAUAGGGGUGGAGGGGUUGGAGGGAGGGCAGGGGAAAGGGGAAAAAAUAAGAACCAAGAUGGAUUAUGUAAAGGUGCAAAUUUCCAUGAUGAAUCUCAUUAUAUUGUAUACCUAAUAUGUACCAAUAAAAUUAAUUAAAAAAAAGAAAGAAAACACAGAUUUUAUUAGACAGGCACAAAUGUUUAUUCCAAAAACUUUAAAAAACAUGGGUUUAAAAGAAGCAAGAGAAAACCCUGUAAUCCCAAUUUCCAGAGACACUAUUUUGUAUACGGCCUUCUCCACUUUCUCUUUCUCCUCUUCUACCUCCUCCCCCUCCUCCUGCUCUUCUUCUUCCUCCUCUCCUCCUUCUCUUUCUCCUCCUCCUCCUCUUCCUUCUUCUUCUUCCUCUUCUUUUUUUGCAUUUUUUGGAGACAAAUUCUCACUGUGUAGUUCAGACUGGCCUUGAAUUGACUACGUAGCCCACGCCGGC
rnacentral:lncRNA from 1 species